rnacentral:rRNA from 1 species
UCUUUUCCCCAGUGUAUAAAGCUGGGGGAAUAAGGAGAGGGCAAGCCUGGUGUCAGCCGCCGCGGUAAUACCAGCUCUCCGAGUGGUGGGGAUGCUUAUUGGGCCUAAAGCAUUCGUAGCCUGCUUGGCAAGUCCUCCGUUAAAUCCAACGAUUCAAUCGUUGGGCUGCGGGGGAUACUGUCCGGCUAGGGGGCGGGAGAGGCCGACGGUAUCCUCGGGGUAGGGGUGAAAUCCUAUAAUCCCGGGAGGACCACCAGUGGCGAAGGCUGUCGGCUAGAACGCGCUCGACGGUGAGGGAUGAAAGCUGGGGGAGCGAACCGGAUUAGAUACCCGGGUAGUCCCAGCUGUAAACGAUGCAGGCUAGGUGUUGGCGCGGCUACGUGCCGCUCCAGUGCCGCAGGGAAGCCGUUAAGCCUGCCGCCUGGGAAGUACGGCCGCAAGGCUGAAACUUAAAGGAAUUGGCGGGGGAGCACCACAAGGUGUGAAGCUUGCGGUUUAAUUGGAGUCAACGCCGGAAAUCUCACCGGGGGCGACAGCAGAAUGAAGGUCAGAUUGAAGGUCUUACCAGACAAGCUGAGAGGAGGUGCAUGGCCGUCGCCAGUUCGUGCCGUGAGGUGUCCUGUUAAGUCAGGCAACGAUCGAGACCCGCGUCCCCUGUUGCCACCGGCCUUGAGCCGAGCACACUGGGGAGACUGCCGCCGAUAAGGCAGAGGAAGGAGCGGGCCACGGCAGGUCAGUAUGCCCCGAAUCCCCCGGGCUACACGCGAGCUGCAAUGGCAGGUACAGAGGGUACCGACUCUGAAAGGAGAAGGAAAUCCCGAAAGCCUGCCGUAGUUGGGAUCGAGGGUUGAAACUCACCCUCGUGAACAUGGAAUACCUAGUAACCGCGUGUCACUACCGCGCGGUGAAUACGUCCCUGCUCCUUGCAGGAAUUCGCCGA